rnacentral:siRNA from 1 species
UGCACAUACUUGAUCGAGUGAU